ensembl:lncRNA
GAAAUGUAACAAAUGUAAUAUGUUGCCAGCACACUAGUUUGUGAAACCUAUAUGGCAAUAAAUCUCUUUCUGAUUCUGAUUUAGGACACAAUAAGUAACUUGAGGUGUCAACAUUCUAUUGGCCAAGUCUAUUGUGACAUUUAUUCACCAUUACCUGAUCCUAAGGAUCACGAUGGGUUGGUGCAACAGGACCACAGUGGCCUACAUCAAUCGCCAAGGGGGAGUCAGCUCUCCUCUACUCAACCUGCGCUCGUUGAAGGCCUCCCAUAUUCCGAGUCAACUCAAUGUGGGAAGAGACCUCAUGUCCCGAGGAGGUCCUCAGCACGAUUCAGGGUGCCUGGGCUGUAUCUACUUCUAAGGUGUAUGUGGGGGAAUGGAACGUCUUUUCGCUAUGGUGCAAGGGCCAUUCUAUAGACCCUGUGUGCUGUGAGGUGGGUUGAAUUCUCAACCUAAAGUCAUCCCCCAUUGUUAAGGACUAGAACAAUCUUGAUGUUGAUGCGUGGAAUAUGCAUGAAAGUUGUGAUUUUGGUUUUGGCUGACCGCCACUAUUUGGUGUAACAUAGAUAUGCAUCAAAGUUGGAAAGAUUCCCUUAACUUUAGGAGGUUAAUUGAAUCAUGAUGUUUAUGUUGUCACGAAGUACUUUGGCCAUUGCCUGAGGAAAUGUACAUUUUGAUAUGCUAAUUUGGGAGUUGUUUCACUGAGUAAGACAACUCUGUCAAUAGGUUUUAUGGGUUAUAAUUCCUUGACACGAGCGACUGUGUGGCACAUUUGUUGUUUUUUGAUUUUGUUUGUGGAUGUUGUGUUUUUAUCAUUUUC